rnacentral:rRNA from 1 species
GACAGAGGAUGCAAGCGUUAUCCGGAUUAUUGGGCGUAAAGAGCGUGUAGGCGGCCAGGUAGGUCUGCUGUGAAAACUCGAGGCUUAACCUCGAGCUGUCGGCGGAAACCAUCUGGCUAGAGUCCGGAAGAGGAGAAUGGAAUUCCCGGUGUAGCGGUGAAAUGCGCAGAUAUCGGGAAGAACACCCGUGGCGAAGGCGGCUCUCUGGGACGGUACUGACGCUGAGAAGCGAAAGCAUGGGGAGCGAACAGG